rnacentral:rRNA from 1 species
UGCGUAGACGGUUACAUAAGUCGGGUGUGAAAGCCCCGGGCUCAACCUGGGAAUUGCAUUCGAGACUGCGUAGCUAGGGUGCGGAAGAGGGAAGCGGAAUUUCCGGUGUAGCGGUGAAAUGCGUAGAUAUCGGAAGGAACACCAGUGGCGAAAGCGGCUUCCUGGUCCAGCACCGACGUUCAGGCACGAAAGCGUGGGGAGCAAACA